rnacentral:rRNA from 1 species
GAUGAACGCUAGCGGCAGGCUUAACACAUGCAAGUCGAGGGGUAGAUGGAGCUUGCUCCAUUGAGACCGGCGCACGGGUGCGUAACGCGUAUGCAAUCUGCCCCUGACUGGGGAAUAGCCCGGAGAAAUCCGGAUUAAUGCCCCAUGGCAUCUGGGAAGGGCAUCCUUCCCUUAUUAAAGGUUACGGGUAGGUAUGAGCAUGCGUCCCAUUAGCUUGUUGGUGGGGAAACGGCCCACCAAGGCGACGAUGGGUAGGGGUCCUGAGAGGGAGAUCCCCCACAAUGGUACUGAGACACGGACCAGACUCCUACGGGAGGCAGCAGUGAGGAAUAUUGGUCAAUGGGCGCAAGCCUGAACCAGCCAUGCCGCGUGCAGGACGACGGCCCUAUGGGUUGUAAACUGCUUUUGUACGGGAAGAAACACCGGUUCGUGAACCGGCUUGACGGUACCGUAAGAAUAAGGAUCGGCUAACUCCGUGCCAGCCGCCGCCGUAACAC